GACGAACGCUGGCGGCGUGCUUAACACAUGCAAGUCGAACGGAAAGGCCCUGCUUUUGUGGGGUGCUCGAGUGGCGAACGGGUGAGUAACACGUGAGUAACCUGCCCUUGACUUUGGGAUAACUUCAGGAAACUGGGGCUAAUACCGGAUAGGAGCUCCUGCUGCAUGGUGGGGGUUGGAAAGUUUCGGCGGUUGGGGAUGGACUCGCGGCUUAUCAGCUUGUUGGUGGGGUAGUGGCUUACCAAGGCUUUGACGGGUAGCCGGCCUGAGAGGGUGACCGGCGACAUGGGGACUGAGAGAGGGCGCAGUCUCGUACGGGAGGCAGCGGUGGGAAGUAUUGCACAAUGGGGGGAAGCCUGAGGCAGAAGCGCCGCGUGCGGGAUGACGGCCUUCGGGUUGUAAACCGCUUUCGCCUGUGACGAAGCGUGAGUGACGGUAAUGGGUAAAGAAGCACCGGCUAACUACGUG
rnacentral:rRNA from 1 species